rnacentral:rRNA from 1 species
UACGUAGGGUGCGAGCGUUGUCCGGAAUUAUUGGGCGUAAAGGGCUCGUAGGCGGUUUGUCGCGUCGGGAGUGAAAAUCCAGGGCUUAACUCUGGACUGGCUUCCGAUACGGGCAGACUAGAGGUAUGCAGGGGAGAACGGAAUUCCUGGUGUAGCGGUGAAAUGCGCAGAUAUCAGGAAGAACACCAAUGGCGAAGGCAGCUCUCUGGGACGGUACUGACGCUGAGACGCGAAAGCGUGGGGAGCGAACAGG